rnacentral:misc_RNA from 1 species
ACAAACUUGGUCAUUUAGAGGAAGUAAAAGUCGUAACAAGGUCUCCGUUGGUGAACCAGCGGAGGGAUCAUUACCGAGUCACGUACUCAAAUAACCCUUCUGUGGACCUGAAUAAACCGUUGCCUCGGCGGGCGGUCCCUCCCCCCCCACGUGGGGCGGGGACCAGACAGUCCGGUACGCCUUAGGGCGUCCCCCGGCGCCAGCCGCUGGCCCUAAGCAAUUAAACUCUAGUAACUUUACCUUCUGAGUUGUAAUGUAAAAAAUUAAGUCAAAACUUUCAACAACGGAUCUCUUGGCUCUGGCAUCGAUGAAGAACGCAGC